CACGUAGGGCGCAAGUGUUGUCCGGAAUUAUUGGGCGUAAAGAGCUCGUAGGCGGUCUGUUGCGUCCGCUGUGAAAACCCGGGGCUUAACCCUGGGCUGGCAGUGGAUACGGACAGACUAGAGGUAGGUAGGGGAGAAUGGAAUUCCCGGUGUAGCGGUGAAAUGCGCAGAUAUCGGGAGGAACACCGGUGGCGAAGGCGGUUCUCUGGGCCUUACCUGACGCUGAGGAGCGAAAGCGUGGGGAGCGAACAGG
rnacentral:rRNA from 1 species